GUGGAGCAUGUGGUUUAAUUUGAUGCAAAGUGAAAAACCUUACCAGGGCUUGACAUACUGCGAUUCCUCUUCAAAAAGAGGGGUGCUUUCACGAGUGCAGACACAUGUGGUGCAUGGUUGUCGUUAGCUUGUGCCGUAAGGUGUUUGGGUUAAGUCCGACAACGAGCGGAACCCUUGUGUUUAGUUGCCACCAUUGAGUUUGGAACCCUGAGCAGAUUGUGGUGAUAAUCCAGAGGAAGUUGAGAAUGACGUCAAGUCAUCAUGCCCCUUAUGUCCUGGGCGACACACGUGCUACAAUGGCUGGAAUAAAGGAUCGUGAACCCAUGAGGGUGAGCUAACUCCAAAAUCCCGUCCUUAGUUCGAAUUGUAGGUUUGACAUGUAUUGAAAAGGAAU
rnacentral:rRNA from 1 species